rnacentral:rRNA from 1 species
CCCUUAGAUGUUCUGGGCCGCACGCGCGCUACACUGAUGCAUUCAACGAGUCUAAAACCUGGUCUGAUAGGGCUGGGUAAUCUUUUGAAAGUGCAUCGUGAUUGGGAUAGAUGAUUGCAAUUCUUCAUCUUCAACGAGGAAUGCCUAGUAAACGCAAGUCAUCAGCUUGCAUUGAUUACGUCCCUGUCCUUUGUACACACCGCCCGUCGCUCCUACCGAUUGAAUGAUCCGAUGAAUACCAUGGAUUGAGAGUACGAAUAGGUUCGCUUAUUUCUGCUGCUCGAGAAGUGGAGUAAAUCUUAUCAUUUAGAGGAAGGAGAAGUCGUAACA